UGGGCAUGGGUUGUUAGUCUUUCCUGUGUCCAGGCUGAAAAGAAGGGUAAUUGGGCCUUCUCGGUAUGGGCACUGCUGAAACAAGCUUCCUGAGAUCAGGCUAGCAUUUUAUUUUUUUUUUUGAUUAAGCAGUCACAAAACAUUUAUUAGUGUGCUUUUACAUACAUUCUGCUUUCAGUUUUAUUACUUGUUCUUCUCUACAGGUUCUCUACAAUUGACAAAUCUAUUUUUAUGAGGGUCAGUUCAGCCUAUUUGUGAAAUAGUUAGUUCUCUCUCUAUUGUUUGGAGUAACAAGGUUGCAGAGAAAAACAUCUACAACCAUCCUUAAAGUGUGCUGUUCUUGUCAAAUAGGAGAGGUGCCCUAAGCUUAUUUUCUCUCUGUAUCUAUAAUAGCAGAGGUGAGGACUUGACAAAAUCAACAAAAGACUUUGACUUUAACACCAGUUACUUGAGACUUCACCUGGACUUUAGCCUUUUGACUUGCAAUGACUUGACCCAAAGACUGAAAAUGUAUGUUCUGCAGAUGCAGGGGGGGAAAUGUGCAUUUGGCAUGCACGCCAAAAACAUUUGGACAAUAAAACAUUCAGGUCAUCUGCUGAGUGUAUGGAUUUUUUGGAAUACAAGUUGGUCAAGACAACAUGAUAAAGUAAACUGCUGAGCUGUAGAGAACUCCAGAUAAAUUGAUUUGUAAGGACACAGAUGACUGCAGGGGACCACUAUGGAUACAAUUUUCUUUUUUUAGCUUUGCUGCAACAGCAGCAGGAAAGCAGACUCAGUACCGAGAAUUGCAGGCGAACAGAAGAGUCAAGACAAUUCCCUGCAUCCAGUGACGGAGACGGAGUGAUUGAGGCGCCACAGACCACCUGGGCUGAAACGAGACGGAUGAAAAUUGAUGAUGCCCCUGAACCAUAAAGCUACUCAAAAGGAAACAAAAUGGAGCCUUGUGAACGUGCACAACAAGUAUAACACUAAGGGCUUUUACUGCUUUCAUGUGCUCAGCCUCUUUGUUUCUGUACACUGCCCUUGGUGAGGGUUUCUGUUUAAAUGAGGACCUAAAGUGAGGUGAUCACACUCAACAACAAUCCUGAAUGAAUCAAACCUCUGGACAACCUCAUGAAAGGGCAGUUUAUGCAUGUCUCAUCUAACCUUGGUCAGCCUGGAUCCACUUAAGCUUUGAUUAUAGAUAACAUGUCCUGCAUUUACUGUAGUAGUUAUGUUUUAGAAGUGUACCUGCAUUGUUUUAAGACAACCAUUUACAUUUAUCUUGCAAAAAUGCCCAGUCCAGAUAUGUUCAUGUCUCAUUAUCUUUCUAAAUUCUGUAUUAUUAUUAAAAUAAGUGAACACAUCUGCAAAUAGAGUGCAAUAAUUUCUUACUUUUCAAUGUGGAUGAAAUUAGUUUGCAGUAUAUCUCAAAUAAAGUUGAAUCAUCUCCAUAAAAAAAUCAAGUAAUGUCACAAAAAAAAACAUUUGUGUAUUACAUAAAGUGUAUUUAUGUAACCUUAGUGUGGCAUUUUCCUUUAACAUUAACACUUGAAAGUCAGUAUAAGGAUAUGCAAGUCACCAUAGCCUCUUUUUUUUUUAAACUUAUUAUAAUGAUCCUAAAUUAAAGGCCAUGGGGUCAUUAAGAUUAUAGAGCCAGGAAAUAUAUUGUGUGCAAAGAUUACAUAUUGGCCUGAGAAACAAAACACACAGGUGGAAGCCUACUCUUGAUGGUGGUGCUCUCAUAGAAAAUUAGAAUUCAUCCUCUGGAGACCAUUAACUUUCACAGCAAAUUUCAAGAAAAUCUGGCCAUUGUAGUUUGUAAGAUACUUUGCCAUGAACCAAUUAGUUGGUCAAGGAGGUGGUGCAAGACUUUUGGGUCACCAAAAUAAUUAGGAAUCAUCAGUGGCCAUGAUAUUUUACUCUGGACAAGCGCUAGUUUGAGGUAAUUUAGAAACAGUGUCACCAUUAUGUUUGUCCACCAGAGAGCACUGACAAGUUUAUUUUUACACUGUGAAAUGUCCCUCUCAGUAUGUAUCUUUUCAAUUCUUACAAACAAAAACAAUAUAUCAUUAUCAGGUUUUGUGUUUUGUUUUUUAAACUUCCAAAUAUCAAUAUAUGUACUGGCAAGCAACCAUACCAAAGCUACAUUCAGAUCUCAAAAAGAAUGAUGUGCUAAUUCAAACUAUAUUUUUAUGGACAGCACCAUCAUACGCCUGCAGGGUCUUCAGAGAGGCAACAUUAUUCACCUGCCAUCAAGUGUGCAGGUAACAGAUGUUUCAGUGGUUUCUGACACUAAGCAACCUCCUUCACUCCCACUCAACACCAAACACAACUCUUGCCACCUACACUACUCUUGCCUUGUUUGAAUACUAGCCAACAAGCACACUAACCUUUUCAGUGAGCUUGCACAGUAAAUUUAUGCAUAUUUGUUCUGUGUGUACAGCAGCAUUGUGUAUUGUGGAACAGUGGGUGACAGUGACACUGCUGGCACACAGAGAGACACAUAUAUGCACUGUAUUAUCUAUUUCAAGCUUAUAUUCAAGCAGAUAUAACAGAGGGAGAACUUGAA